rnacentral:miRNA from 1 species
UUCUGGGGUGUGUCGCCUG